rnacentral:rRNA from 1 species
AGAAUCAACGCUGGCGGCGUGCCUAACACAUGCAAGUCGCACGAGAAAGGGUAGCAAUACCUGAGUAAAGUGGCGCACGGGUGAGUAACACGUGAAUAAUCUACCUCCGAGUGGGGAAUAACUGAGAGAAAUCUUAGCUAAUACCGCAUAACACUUACGAGUCAAAGCAGCAAUGCGCGUUGGAGAGGAGUUCGCGGCCGAUUAGUUAGUUGGCGGGGUAAUGGCCCACCGAAGACGAUGAUCGGUA